rnacentral:rRNA from 1 species
AGUGAACGCUGGCGGUAGGCCUAACACAUGCAAGUCGAACGGCAGCACAGUAAGAGCUUGCUCUUACGGGUGGCGAGUGGCGGGCGGGUGAGGAAUACAUCGGAAUCUACUUUUUCGUGGGGGAUAACGUAGGGAAACUUACGCUAAUACCUCAUACUACCUACGGGUGAAAGCAGGAGAUCUUCGGACCUUGCGCGAUUGAAUGAGCCGAUGUCGGAUUAGCUAGUUGGCGGGGUAAGGGCCCACCAAGGCGACGAUCCGUAGCCGGUCUGAGAGGAUGAUCAGCCACACUGGAACUGAGACACGGUCCAGACUCCUACGGGAGGCAGCAGUGGGGAAUAUUGGACAAUGGGCGAAAGCCUGAUCCAGCCAUACCGCGUGGGUGAAGAAGGCCUUCGGGUUGUAAAGCCCUUUUGUUGGGAAAGAAAAGCAGCAGGUUAAUACCCCGCUGUUCUGACGGUACCCAAAGAAUAAGCACCGGCUAACUUCGUG